rnacentral:ribozyme from 1 species
AUCGCUAAUCUACAAAGCGAUCCGCUCUUAAAGUUGCCUAAGAACGUUGCAAGCCGUUUUACGAAAAACUGAGCAAGAA